rnacentral:tRNA from 1 species
UAUUUUUUAGUAUAUAGUGUACAUCAAUUUUUGAUAUUGGUAGAGAUAGUUAAAUUCUAUUAAAAAUAA